AUCCUUACCUGGCAGGGGAGAUACCAUGAUCGUGAAGGUGGUUUUCCCAGGGUGAGGUUUAUCCCUUGCACUCCAGAUGUGCUGACCCUGUGAUUUCCCCAAAUAUGGGAAACUCAAUUGCAUAAUUUGUGGCAGUGGGAACCAUGUUCUCACUAUUCCCU
ensembl:snRNA U1 U1 spliceosomal RNA